rnacentral:misc_RNA from 1 species
UACUUACCACAGCAUGGCUUAAUCUUUGAGACAAGCAUAUGACUACUGGCAGGAUCAACCAGGUAGCAUUCCUCUUCGACAAAGCCCGCCACGCAAGGACAAGCCAUAACAUGACGGGUGAUCGUUUGAGAGAAGCGAGAACGCUUAACAAGAGCAAAUGUAGGAUCAAUAAGACCCAUGCCCACAUUGAGUUCCGUAUACAAGAUACCAAGCAAUGCUUCAUGGGCCACAUCGUCGAUGCAUAAGCACCAACAAGGCGGAUCACAAAGAUCGCAUCAACGUUCGUCCCACGCUGCAUGAGCAGACCCAAGACGAAAAGGGACUAUAAACCAACACAAUACCAUCAAUUAGGUAUGCAACACAGGAAACCCACAAAAUACCCAAGGCGAUAAGCCUUGCGUACAACUGAAGAGGUAAGCACGCGUGGAAGUUGCUGCUUAAGGCAGACAUCCAACCACCCGUAACAAACCAAACACCACUCAUGCACCUUUACGGUCAACAUUCCCGAAAGCCGCCCAACUAGUAGCGACCCACCCGACACAUAGGCCAAGCAAGCAACCAAAAGCCAAAACAGCCCCCAGAAUGCACCGAACGAUAUCGAAAAGU